rnacentral:rRNA from 1 species
CUGGCUCAGAACGAACGUUAGCGGCGCGCCUAACACAUGCAAGUCGAGCGAGAAAGGGCUUCGGCCCCGGUAAAGCGGCGCACGGGUGAGUAACACGUAGGCAAUCUGCCUCGAGGUGGUGGAUAACCCUCCGAAAGGAGGGCUAAUACAGCAUGAGACCACGUCGUCGAAAGACGAUGCGGCCAAAGCCGGCCUCUUCAUGAAAGCUGGCGCCACGAGAUGAGCCUGCGGCCCAUCAGCUAGUUGGUAGGGUAACGGCCUACCAAGGCAAAGACGGGUAGCUGGUCUGAGAGGAUGAUCAGCCACACUGGAACUGAGACACGGUCCAGACUCCUACGGGAGGCAGCAGUGGGGAAUCUUGCGCAAUGGGCGAAAGCCUGACGCAGCGACGCCGCGUGAGCGAUGAAGGCCUCGGUGUAAGACUCUGUGGAGGGGGACGGAAGU